rnacentral:lncRNA from 1 species
ACGUAAAGCUAUCCUUUCAAGGUACUUCUUAUAUUUUUUGUCAGAUGAGAAAACUGACUUAGGAAGGUGACUUUUCCAAGGUCACUCAAUUGCUAAUUGGUUGAGGUGUGAUUCAUCCCCAAUCCAAGGCUUUCUAAAUUCUAAAAUCUUUCUACUUAGCCCAUACGGCAGCAUCGCACCAUGGGUGAAACCCCAGGUCACCCUGCGUGAAAUCACUUGGGCCAGGCACCUGUGUGUACAGCAGCUCCUUAUCCUCACAUCACCUGCAGGAGUAAGGCGGUUUUUACCCCAUUGUACCAUGAAGACUCAGAGGCCCAGAGAGGAGAAAUGACUUGCCAGUGUUCAAGUCCUGGACAGGGUCUGAAUCUAGGUUC